UCUCUCUCUGACCAUCAUAUCACAAUUGCAUCUCCCCAAUCCUCUCUCGUCAAAAACCCUUCCAUCCCCAUUCUUCAACCCCAAAUCUCAUAAAAACCCUAAUCUUCGACAUUUGAAACCGCCGCCGAUCCAGUUGCUGCCAAUCGAAGCCGUGUAGUGUAACCGGUCGGGUUGGUGAGUCGAUUGAACCAUACGGUUUACUGUUUUGCCGAUCUGAAGACGAACGCGAACAAGGUUAGUCGAUUUGACGGAGUUUCGGUCAUUGUUUCGCGAAAUCAACCAUAGACUUUAGGUUUCCGUUGUGAUUUGAAGUUUAUGGUUGUUUGGUUUUCAGUUUGGGUUAUGUGAAUCAGUGAAUUUCAGUGUUUUUUAGUCGUUGUUUGGUUUUUUUUUUGUUUCGUUUUUUAUGGUUGUUUUUCGAAAUAUAUUUGAUUAUUUUGUCUUAUUUGAUUGCAUCAUUGGUUUUUUAUGUCCGGAAUGUGUACUGUGUUUAUCGGCAAUGGUUUCCAUCAACAUAUCUCUACAACUGCUACAUCAUUGAACUAUUCGUACAUUAUCUCAUUCAUGUUUACAUCAUUUCACUGGUAAACUACAUCAUUUGGGUUUACAAUAUUUCAUUGAUUAGGUACAUUAUCCGUAAAAUCGACAUUUGAAGUGGUUGAUUGCAAACAACUUGGCUUCUGACUUGUCUGUGCAUCGGCUACAUUAUUUAACUGUUUCUGUUACAUUAUUCAUGUACAUCUCUGAACACGAAAAAAAAUUGUGACAAUGGUGAACAAGGGAAGGACUUCGAAGAGCCAAGCAAGCCAAGAUGCAAUUCACAUUUUUUCCACUUAUAUUCUACAUUAGCUGGUUACAUUAUCUGGACAACGGCCGACUUCGAUGAUGAUUUUGAUGAAGACAUUCCCUUUCAUUUAUACACCAAUCUAGGGAGGAAAUGACUGCGGAUAGGGAGGUUGAGCAUGCUGCCGCGUCAAAGUGUUUACAUUGUUUAUAAUAUUUAUGUUUUAAUGUACUAUUUGACUUUUGUACAUUAAUGAUAGCAUUGCGUGCAUUAUACAAUUGUACAUUAUUUAUUAUAUGAAUAGUACAUUAAUUGUAUAAAAACGCGUACAUUAUUUAUUAA